rnacentral:lncRNA from 1 species
CGGGUGUCGGGAAAGCUAAAUUGAGUAGUCAGGAUUAGGGAAUCUACUCCAGUCAUCUUUCUAGUUCACAUGACAGAGAGAGGUCAAAACACCAACGAGGACCCCCGGGACUGGCAGGAAGAACGGAUGACGCUGGUGAGCACCGUGUGAAACUGAGGCUCUGCGGCAGCGAGCAUCCAGAUGACAAGGACUUACACGUCUUUGUGUCAUGCUAGCCUCCAGGAGGGCCCCAGACUGGCGACAGCAAAACAGGCCAUACAAACUAGUUCCACACGGCUGCCAAGGGGAAAACUAAUCGUUCUUCAAGCAUUUGGGGAAGGGCCAUGAUUCCUGAGGAAGAAGGGAGAAGAGAAUGGUCUAAGAUGGAACCAGGUGUGCCAGAAAAGACUUGAAGACACCUCUGGAGACAUCUGGGAGAAUGCAUGGUAAAACGGCAGUGUUAGCAAACAGUAGCUAUCACUACUACUGUGGAAUGAAAGUGACGAGAAACCAUUAAAACCCUCAUUUAAUCCACCGAGAAACUCUGGAAGGUAUAUCUUAGUUUUCCAUUUUAUAGAAAAAGAAACAAAAGUUUACAGGGCUAUAAUAGCAGCCCCAGGAUCACAAAGCCACAGAGCUUCCUUGACACCAAGUCUAUGUCUAAAAUCUACAGGUAUGUGAUGCCAGGCUCCUCCCUGAUCUGUAACUUUUGAUUCAAAAUGUUAAUGUGAGCUUUUAUUCAGAAUUCAAAAAGCAUCUAGUAGCCAUUGAUACUAUCCUCAUAGCAACCAAACAUCAUCUUUCCCC